rnacentral:tRNA from 1 species
UCUGGUUUAGUUUAAAAAAAAAUGUUGUUUUGUGGUGACAAAGAUAAUCUUACAUUAACUGGUU